ACUGUCAUUUUAACACCGUCAUCUGUGACGUAGGAGGUACAUACGUGUUCUUUUGAGUCACCGAUAUUCUGGAAAUAUAAGUCUUCAAUCUCCUAAUUUUCGUCAUUCAGUGCUCGGAAGACGAUAUUGUGUGUU